GAUGUACAAUUGUUGUCAUUUUAACUCACGUGUAGUGUGUUUUGAUGGUCAUUUAUCUUCAUGGUUGUGAUCUUGAUAAAAGCGUUACUUUACUGCUCAACAGGUUUAUUCACUUAAGUGUACUUUGAACAUCAUCUGUAAAGGUUCACGCAGUGUGUGCUUUUAGCACUAGUCUUCUGGACAGACAAGCUGCAGUCUUGUGAUACAAUUCAAUAAAAAAGGACACGAAUACGAAUAUAUGAUUGUGGAUAUGGAGAAAAAAUAUCCAGGAGUUGGUCGUUGCAAAUGUGCAUUUUGGUUUGCUGUUUUUCAUGACAUUUUUGGACUUUUUGUCCUUCUUGCUGGUGUAUUUUGGGACAUCUUUUUCCAUGACUUUUUAAUUUACGCUGGAGCUGUGAUUAUUUUCCUAAGUCUUAUCUGGUGGGUGUUCUGGUACACUGGUAAUAUUGAAGUGCCUCCUGAAGAGCUGGUGGACGACAUUGCUCAAUACAAACGCACUAAAGGAAUUUCAGGCGUUAUGCGUAAAGUCUCCAGCAGUCUCUCUAACGGACUGAGGAAUUCCUUUAGGAGAAGUGGAAGGUUCAACACUCAGGCUGAAGGCUCUCAGGCAAGCCGCAAUGCCAGAUCAGAUCAACCUAUUUCCAUUGCCAUGAGCUCCUAUAUAAAUGCACAACCGCCUGGGACGACCAACAACCUGAACCGAGAUCCUUUAGUGAUUUAACCUACAGUGCUUUGCGGAGAGACCCUCCUCUUCACAUCGGCAUUCAUGCUGCCUAGAAAUGCUUUGCCUUUUAAAGUGCUUUAUAGAUCUUUAAGAUCAUCAGUGUUUUCGGCUACAUUUCUGUGUAAUUGUUUAUAUUUAAAUAGCUUUAAAUAUUGUUUUUUUAAUCCAAUUUAACGAAAUGUAUUUGUAUUAUUUAACAUAAUGUGAUAAUAUUAUUACAGAAUAAACUAAUAUGUUGUCCCUCUCUACCUAAUAAGCAGUGCUUACUUUUAUGUGUUUACAACAGUAUCAGGAAAAUAUUGUCUUAUGUACAAACUUGCAAUUAAAAUAAUUUUAAAACAUA